CCUACGGGAGGCAGCAGUGGGGGAUAUUGCACAAUGGGGGAAACCCUGAUGCAGCGACGCCGCGUGGGUGAAGAAGCGCCUCGGCGCGUAAAGCCCUGUCAGCAGGGAAGAAAAUGACGGUACCUGAAGAAGAAGCCCCGGCUACCUACGUGCCAGCAGCCGCGGUAAUACGUAGGGGGCAAGCGUUAUCCGGCGUUACUGGGUGUAAAGGGGGCGCAGACGGCGAUGCAAGCCAGGAGUGAAAGCCCGGGGCCCAACCCCGGGACUGCUCUUGGAACUGCGUAGCUAGAGUGCAGGAGGGGCAGGCGGAAUUCCUGGUGUAGCGGUGAAAUGCGUAGAUAUCAGGAGGAACACCGGUGGCGAAGGCGGCCUGCUGGACUGCAACUGACGUUGAGGCCCGAAAGCGUGGGGAGCAAACAGGAUUAGAUACCCCAGUAGUC
rnacentral:rRNA from 1 species